rnacentral:rRNA from 1 species
AACGAACGCUGGCAGCAUGCCUAACACAUGCAAGUCGAACGAGACCUUCGGGUCUAGUGGCGCACGGGUGCGUAACGCGUGGGAACCUGCCCUUAGGUUCGGAAUAACUCCCCUAAAGGGGUGCUAAUACCGGAUAAUGUCUUCGGACCAAAGAUUUAUCGCCUUUGGAUGGGCCCGCGUUGGAUUAGCUAGUUGGUAGGGUAAAAGCCUACCAAGGCGACGAUCCAUAGCUGGUCUGAGAGGAUGAGCAGCCACACUGGGACGGAGACACGGCCCAGACUCCUACGGGAGGCAGCAGUGGGGAAUAUUGGACAAUGGGCGAAAGCCUGAUCCAGCAAUGCCGCGUGAGUGAUGAAGGCCUUAGGGUUGUAAAGCUCUUUUACCCGGGAUGAUAAUGACAGUACCGGGAGAAUAAGCUCCGGCUAACUCCGUG